CAUCUAUAACUUUCUUUUACAGACCUGUCAGUUCUACCCUGAGGGAGUUGAAUACGCCGAUGCAAGAAGUGCAGACCGUCAGCGGGAAUCGGGAGAGCCAGGUAAAAAUGCACCCGCUAUGGAUGUGAUGAUCGUUGGAGCAUAGCUGUAUGAGGUGUUCCGAUCUCAAAAUACCACAUUCUACACACGUAGGGUGCAUUACGUUCCGGUUCGGAUUGGAGAACCUGGAUAAGCUCGCCGGAGAACGCUUCCUCCUUCGUUUCGACAUACUUGCCAUUCUCAACUUGUUAAGCCUCAUCUUGUCUAAGUGUCGACCAUAGCAAGGUAAUUCUUGGCACGUGUGUAAAACGAGAUUUUAAGAAAUCUCGCGCUAAAAACUCCUCUCCAAUUUUACUUGACUGAAAUAACAUCUGUUUUUUUCCCUACCAUUGGUUCGCAAUAAAAUUACGCAAAAAUAAAGUCUUUUUAAACUUUUUAAAAGAUUUCGUCACUACUUGUCCUAAACAGUACCAAAAUUAGAAGUUAUAUGUUAUUAAGUUUGAUAAACUUUACGGGAGGAGUCAAUAUAGCCGUCAUUACCAUGUGCUCUAAAUGAACUUUAACCUCACAAAGUUUAAUAACAGAUUGCUCAAAUUAUUAAUAGUAUUUUUAUUUUGCUAGUGUUUGUAUUUUGUAUUACGAAGGGGAAGAAAUAUGGAUUUAAUAAGACAAUUAUGCCUCUAACUUUUGAUGGCAAUAAAUUUUCUUAUUUAGUAUUUUAGCUGUUAUUAUAGAUUCCUCUAACUGACUGUCGAACCAGAGUGAGAUGCGGCAACAAAUACUCAGAUAUCAGACAAAUGCAAACGGAGUCCUGCAAGGGAGCAUUUUAGGUCUUGUCGUGUUUAUCAUUUUCAUUUCAAACACCCUAUACGCCCUAGCGGAUGACUUGGCAAUUCAUCUUAUAGCCCGAAUCCUAUCCAAGAAAUAUCCCAGAAAAUCUUGAGAUUAUCAAAUAAUGGGGGAAAAGUGGAAAAUAAGACUGAGGAAAAAUGUACCCAGUCUAAAUUUAUAAUGAAAAUGGGAAUCGCCAUCUAGCAUGCGUCAACUAGGAACUACCGAAUUCUAUU